CCAAAUCGUGUUUUGAAGCGAAAAACCCCAAAUCGCAGCGAUAUCUCUAAUCCCUCCCGUUGAUACUUCCUGUUGUCCGGCGAGCAGCAGCGAUACGUCCAGUCGUCCGGCGAGCAGCAGCGAUACCUCCAGUCGUCCAGCGAGCAGCAGCGAUAUCUCCAGUCCGGCGAGCAGCAGCGAUACUUCUUGUCCGGCGAUAUCUCCAGUCCAUUCCGUUUAUUUCACCUCCAGGUAAGAUCGAUUUGGUUCUAUUCUUGGUUCAUAUGUUUACUUCACCGAUUAUUUCUGUUUUUGUUCUUGACUCUAUUCUUAAUAGUUGUUCUUGAUUAUUCUAUUCUCGAUUCAUUUGUUUUUCUUUUUUUCUGUCGACUAAAUCUAAGCUGGGAUGCUGGUCAUGGAAUAAAUCUCUAAGGGAUUUACCCACUAAUUGAAAUCAAGACGUUGCUGGUCAUUAUUUACCCACUAAUUGAAAUGAAGAUAAAUGAGGACAUGAUUUAUGUGCUUUAGGUUAUUAUCGAUAUCAAUUGCUUAAUAUCGAUACUUCCUGUCUAGGUAAUUGAUACGGCCUAAGAUUGGAUAGACAGAAAAGAAACGAUUUAACCUGGGAUGAAGGAUGCCCCAGAUCCGUGAAUUCAAUCACAGGUGUCCGAAGCUGCGCACGGCGGAGUAAGACUCCUGAAAUCGAGUCUUAGCUUCCCAAAUCAAUGCUGUGAAGCGGAUUUGGUAGGGGCUCGAUACGGCAUGGAAGAUCUCGGAAGAUCUGGAUGUCGCGGGCGCAUCUGGACGGAGAGCAUAUUGAACGAUAGAGUGACGGUGGAAUGGAGAGUGGACGUACUCGACUAUCGCCGGAAUCUGGAUCGGUGAAGUGGGAUGGAAGUUUUUUUGUAAUAUUAAUUCAUUAAAAAAUCCAAACGCAAAAUGUCUAUUUAACUAUUACAGCCGAAUCUUAAUACUGAAAUUCAUAGGGUCUCUUUAAUAAAUUCCCUUUUAAAUUAGGUAUUCGUUGGAAUCCCUAACUCAUAAUCUUUCACCCAAUUUGGCGGACGGCCCUGGCGCAUCGAUCUCCUGAUCGAUCCCGGUUCAGAUUCGUUGAGCGAACUUGGGUCGUCGGCGUCUCUCGUUUCUUCAACUAAGUCCGCCUCCCUUUCUUGAGUUCUUAUCUUCUCCACAUCUCCUUGUAUUGCUCUGCUGUCUACUAGAAUCGCAUAAUCACCGGCCUGUUAAGACUCAACAUUGUCCACAAUGUUGAUAGAAGGGAACCCCCAUUUGACGUCCUCUUCGAAUUCCCAGGAAGAAUCCUCCGGAAUUGCUCCAUUCCACUCGAUAAGUACCUGUUUUCUCUCUUUGCCUCCUUGCUGCACUUUUCUUCUACCUAGCACAAAAACAGGGUAAAUAAUUGGUUUAUUAUUUACUGAUACUAAUGGUUGUUUGUUGCUGUUUUGCUCUGUAACUAUUCCACAGAAUUUUCUCAAGCGUGAUACAUGGAAUGCUGAAUGAAUCUUGCCGCCAUCCGGAAGUUUAAGCCUGUAAGCUACCUCAUUAUUUUUUUUUGAUAUUUCAUAUGGACCAAAGUAUCUUUUACAGAGCUUAUUAUGUAACCUCUGAGCCAGAGAUUCCUGCCUGUAUGGCUUUAGUUGAACUAAGACCCAAUCACCUUCUUCAUAAAUUAUAUCCGAUCUUUUUCUAUCAGCCUUACUCUUCAUUCUGUUUUGAGCCAUGCUUAGGUUCUUCUUUAUUUUUUCUAAUGUCUCCUCUCUGAGGUGUAGAAUUUCAUCAACAGUUUGCACCGAUGAUUCCCCUUCUUUAUAGUGUGGAAUUUCACUUGCCUCUUUUCCAUAUAGAACUUUAAAGAGUGUCAACCCCAAUGAUGAGUGAAAGCUUAAGUUAUACCAUAACUCUGCCCAUGGUAGCAAUUUUAACCAUUGACUAGGAUUGUCAUGGCAAUAGGACCUCAGAUAUAUCUCUAGUACCCUAUUUACAACCUUUGUCUGCCCAUCUGACUGGGGAUGAUAAGCUGAUGAAAAAUUAAGUUUUGUACCACUGAGUUUAUUGAGCUCCUUCCAAAAUCUAGUUGUAAACACUCUGUCUAUAUCUGAUACAAUUGAACUAGGAAUGCCAUGUAGUUUUACUAUGUCUUUGAUGAAUAAUUCUGCCACAACGGAUGCAUUAAAAUUUGGGGGAAGUGAGUUAAAAUGUGCAUACUUGGAUAGCCUAUCCACCACGACCAUAAUCACUGAUUUCCCCUUGGCCUUGGGAAGAUCUGUUAUAAAAUCCAUACUAAUAUCCUCCCAUACAUUUGAAGGAAUAGGAAGAGGCAUUAGUAAUCCUGCCAACUUUGAAUUUAGUGGUUUUAUUUGUUGACACACCAAACAUUCUUUGACAUAUUUUUUUAUUUGUGAUCCCAUAUUUGACCAAUAGAAAUACUUAGCAACCCUUUUCCAGGUUCUAUAAUACCAGAAUGCCCUCCUAGCUGUGAAUCAUGCAAUUUAAAUAAAAUUUUCUUUAUGAAAGGAGAAUCUUCAUUAACGUAAUACCUCUUUUUGGAAAAUAAGGUGCCAUUUCUGACCACAUAUCCCGCAGAACCUUCAUCUGUUUCUGCAUAUUUCUCUAGUAAUUCUUUAGUUCUGAUUUUACUUGUAUUUUCUGCCUUUAUUUCGUCUAACAGACCGUAUACUGGUAGGGAUAGUGCUAAUAAUGAGCCAGGGACUCCCAUAGAACUUGAAGUAAAAAGAACUUCCUCCUCCUCCUCAAAAUUUCUAGAAAAGGCAUCUGCAACUACAUUUUCUUUUCCUGGCUUAAAUAUGAUAGAAAAAUCAAAACCUAGCAGUUUACAUAAAAAUACCUGCUGUUCUGGGGUUUCAAUGGCCUUAGUUAGUAAAUUUUGUAGGCUUUUAUGGUCUGUCUUGAUAACAAAAUGUGAUCCCAAAAGAUAGUGUCUCCACUUGCUCACAGCUUGAGUGAUUGUGAACAUUUCUUUCACAUAUAUCGAUGCUGCCAUGAUCCUUCCUGAUAGCUUACAGCUGAAAAAACUAAUAGGGUGAUUUUUCUGAUUAAGAACAGCACCCACACCUGAUUUGCAUGCAUCUGUCUCCACUGUGAACUCUAAAUCAAAAUCAGGGAACAUUAAAACAGGAGCUGACACCAUGGCUGAUUUUAACUUCUCGAAACUGAUAGUAGCCUCAUCACUCCAUUGAAAAUUAUCUUUUCUUAAUAGGUCUGUCAUGGGGGCUGCAAUUGAAGCAUACCCUUUAAUGAAUCUCCGAUAAUAACCUGUUAGGCCUAAGAACCCUCUCAACAUUUUUAAUGUUUUUGGUUUUGGCCACUCUACCAUGACUCUGAUCUUCUCCGGGUCGGGAUGUACCCCAUCUAUAACAAUAAUAUGUCCCAAGAAAGUCAUCGAGUCUCUGCCAAAAGAACACUUGGAUAAUUUGGCUAUCAGCCUAUUUGCUCUCAAUACUUCAAAAACUGUUUUCAGAUGCUCUAUAUGGUCUUGUAUUGAGGAGCUAUAGAUUAAUAUGUCAUCAAAAAACACUAUCACAAACUUCCUUAAAUAUUCAGAAAAUACACUGUUCAUAACUGACUGAAAAGUGGUCGGGGCGUUUGUUAGCCCAAAAGGCAUCACAAGGAACUCGAAGAGCCCUUGGUGAGUCCUAAAUGCAGUCCUCUCAGUAUGGUUGGGAUUUAUUCUGAUUUGAUGGAAUCCCGACCUUAGAUCUAAUUUUGAAUAAAUGGCAGAUCCUUUUAAUUUCUCCAACAAUUCAUCGACAGUAGGUAUGGGGAAUUUGUCCUUUACAGUUAGGGCAUUCAAGGCUCUAUAAUCUACACACAGUCGGUAUCCUCCAUCCUUCUUCUUUACUAGUAAAACAGGGGAAGAAUAAAGGUUGGAACUUGGUUUGAUAAUUCCCUUUUUUAACAUUUCAGCAAUUAUUUUCUCAAUCUCAGAUUUUUGAAACUGUGGGUAUCUAUAUGGUCUCACAUUUACUGGUUUAGACCCCGGGUUUAAAUGAAUGGAGUGGUCUCUUUCCCUCUGAGGAGGUAACCCAGAAGGAUCUUCAAACAGAUCACAAUAUUCCUGCACAAUAUUGGUAAUUGCUGGGAUUUUAUCUUCUAAUGUGGCAGUGACCUCAUUGUCAUCUAUUCUUUCUAAAUAGCAGAUAUAUGCCUCCUUUGUUGAAGCAAUUAAGCACUUUAUCUGUCCCACUAUUAAUGGGUCAUCAGACACCCAUGGUAACCCCUCCCAUGUGACCUUCUUGCCAUUAAGAUGAAACUCCAUGGUAUAUCUUUCAAAAUCAAAGGUAACUAGCCCGAAUGUUUUUAAGCCUUGGACACCUAUCACCAUGUUUGAACCAGACAUAUUUAUUAGGAAUAAGUCCAUGACAAUGGGUUUGUCUUGAAUUUUUACUUCCACUCCUUUGCACAUUCUGUUGCAGAUUAAUUUUUCCCCACUUCCCGUCGAUACAUAAAAAGGUGUUAUCAUUAAAAUUGUUAAUUUUAAUGCCACUGCCAUAUCAGCUUGAAUGAAAUUAUGACUUGACCCUGAAUCGAUCAGAACACUAACUGAUUGACACUUUAUAAAGCCUUCCACUCUGAGUGUACUUGAGCUUAUAUUUCCCUCAAAAGCGUGAAGGGAUAUUUCAGUUCUUCCUCUAUCCACAGAAACUUCAUCUUCUUUGUAUUCCUCCUCUUCUUGUUCCUCAAUCUCUACUAAUUCAUACUGAUCUGCAGACAUUCUGAAUAACUUGCCCUUCCUGCCCACACAUACACUAUUGUGGCCUACUGAAAAUUUUUCAUCACAAUUGAAGCAAAGACCCUUUCUUCUUUCUUCUUUUUUCUGCCCUUUCUGUUGCUGAAAAUCUCUUUGUUGUGGGUGCCUCAGAUGUUGUGUUGGCUGCCUGGCCAAAUCCUGUCUCAGUUUUGUUUUGUUGUGACUGAUAUGUGUUUGUUUUAAUGAAUGGUUUAUGAACAUAAGGUUUAUAGGUUGGUGUUUUAGCGUACCCCCCUUUUUUUAUCUCAAUCAUCAAUGACAAUUCAAAUGCCUCAUGAAUGUCAUUUGGCUUCCCCAAGAUUACAUCAUCCUGUAUUUCUUCCUUGAGGCCAGAUAUAUACAUCUCGAGUACAAAGUACUCUGGUAGUCCCAAUACUCUAGUAGACAUCUCCUGGAACAAAUUCUGAUAUUCUGCUACAGUCCCCACCUGGAUUAAUUUGCUCAAUUUACCCCCUGGCAAGUGGUAGUGUAGUGCGGUAAACUUCCUUAUUACAGCAUCAACAAAAUUUGGCCAUGUCGAUAACAUAUUACUUGCCUCUAGCCAGGCAAACCACUUCCUUGCUAUGCCAUCUAGAUUAAAUGAAACUAUCAGUAGUUUCUGAUCCUCGGGUACCCUGUUGAAUAUGAAGUACCUUCUCACUGAGGAUAUCCAAUGCUCUGCUUCAGUGCCAUCGAAUCUUGGCAUAUUAACUUUGAUGUGCUUGGCAGGUGUAUAAGUUGGAUCUUCUAGUACCGACUUUGCAUAGCAUGGUUUAUCAAGAUCUAUUACUGAUUGAUAGUAGUUUAUUUGCUUUUUAUCAUUGUCUGGUGGUUUUUCAGGAAUCUGGUCAACUUUCAUAUCUGGAAAUCUGUUGCAUAAAUCAGAUAAUUGUUUCUCCAACUAUAAAAAGUUGUUCACUGAGUUUUUAAACUCUCCCAUGUCCUUUGUUUGAUUUAUUUGCAGAUUUUGCAAUCGGAUAAAGUCUGGAUUACUUGAGAGAUCAAUGUUGUUUGCCAUCUGAAAUUUUAAUUGAGUUCACUUAAGAAAGCAUCAAAUGAUACGGCCUAAGAUCGGAUAGACAGAAAAGAAACGAUUUAACCUGGGAUGAAGGAUGCCCCAGAUCCGUGAAUUCCAUCACGGGUGUCCGAAGCUGCGCACGGCGGAGUAAGACUCCUGAAAUCGAGUCUUAGCUUCCCAAAUCAAUGCUGUGAAGCGGAUUUGAUAGGGGCUCGAUACGGCAUGGAAGAUCUCGGAAGAUCUGGAUGUCGCGGGCGUGUCUGGACGGAGAGCAGAUUGAACGAUCGAGUGACGGCGGAAUGGAGAGUGGACGUACUCGACUAUCGCCGGAAUCUGGAUCGGUGAAGUGGGAUGGAAGUUUUUUUGUAAUAUUAAUUCAUUAAAAAAUCCAAACACAAAAUGUCUAUUUAAGUAUUACAGCAGAAUCUUAAUACUGAAAUGCAUAGGGUCUCUUUAAUAAAUUCCCUUUCAAAUUAGGUAUUCGUUGGAAUCCCUAACUCAUAAUCUUUCACCCAAUUUGGCGGACGGCCCUGGCGCAUCGAUCUCCUGAUCGAACCCGGUUCAGAUUCGUUGAGCGAACUUGGGUCGUCGGCGUCUCUCGUUUCUCUUGUC
rnacentral:lncRNA from 1 species